rnacentral:rRNA from 1 species
UACGUAGGGGGCAAGCGUUAUCCGGAUUUAUUGGGUGUAAAGGGCGUGUAGGCGGGAAUGCAAGUCAGAUGUGAAAACUCAGGGCCCAACCCUGAGCCUGCAUUUGAAACUGUAUUUCUUGAGUGCUGGAGAGGCAAUCGGAAUUCCGUGUGUAGCGGUGAAAUGCGUAGAUAUACGGAGGAACACCAGUGGCGAAGGCGGAUUGCUGGACAGUAACUGACGCUGAGGCGCGAAAGCGUGGGGAGCAAACAGG